rnacentral:rRNA from 1 species
GUUGUGAAAUGUUGGUUAAGUCCCGCAACGAGCGCAACCCUUAUCCUUGUUGCCAGCGGUCCGGCCGGGAAACUCAAAGGAGACUGCCAGUGAUAAACUGGAGGAAGGUGGGGAUGACGUCAAGUCAUCAUGGCCCUUACGACCAGGGCUACACACGUGCUACAAUGGCGCAUACAAAGAGAAGCGACCUCGCGAGAGCAAGCGGACCUCAUAAAGUGCGUCGUAGUCCGGAUUGGAGUCUGCAACUCGACUCCAUGAAGUCGGAAUCGCUAGUAAUCGUGGAUCAGAAUGCCACGGUGAAUACGUUCCCGGGCCUU